rnacentral:lncRNA from 1 species
AGCGGGGUGUUGGUUUCUCAGACAGACGGUAGAGGGUUUAAUGUCUGUGGUCAGCGGGGUGUUGGUUUCUCAGUCAGACGGUAGAGGGUUUAAUGUCUGUGUGGUCAGCGGGGUGUUGGUUUCUCAGACAGACGGUAGAGGGGUUUAAUGUCUGUGGUCAGCGGGGUGUUGGUUUCUCAGACAGACGGUAGAGGGUUUAAUGUCUGUGUGGUCAGCGGGGUGUUGGUUUCUCAGACAGACGGUAGAGGGUUUAAUGUCUGUGUGGUCAGCGGGGUGUUGGUUUCUCAGUCAGACGGUAGAGGGGUUUAAUGUCUGUGUGGUCAGCGGGGUGUUGGUUUCUCAGACAGACGGUAGAGGGUUUAAUGUCUGUGGUCAGUGGGGUGUUGGUUUCUCAGACAGACGGUAGAGGGUUUAAUGUCUGUGUGGUCAGCGGGGUGUUGGUUUCGCAGACAGACGGUAGAGGGUUUAAUGUCUGUGGUCAGCGGGGUGUUGGUUUCUCAGACAGACGGUAGAGGGUUUAAUGUCUGUGGUCAGCGGGGUGUUGGUUUCUCAGACAGACGGUAGAGGGUUUAAUGUCUGUGGUCAGCGGGGUGUUGGUUUCUCAGACAGACGGUAGAGGGUUAAUGUCUGUGGUCAGCAGGGUGUUGGUUCUCAGACAGACGGUAGAGGGUUUAAUGUCUGUGGUCAGCGGCGUGUUGGUUUCUCAGACAGACGGUAGAGGGUUUAAUGUCUGUGGUCAGCGGGGUGUUGGUUUCUCAGACAGACGGUAGAGGGUUUAAUGUCUGUGGUCAGCAGGGUGUUGGUUUCUCAGACAGACGGUAGAGGGUUUAAUGUCUGUGGUCAGCGGGGUGUUGGUUUCUCAGACAGACGGUAGAGGGUUUAAUGUCUGUGGUCAGCGGGGUGUUGGUUUCUCAGUCAGACGGUAGAGGGUUUAAUGUUUGUGGUCAGCGGGGUGUUGGUUUCUCAGACAGACGGUAGAGGGUUUAAUGUCUGUGGUCAGCGGUGUGUUGGUUUCUCAGACAGACGGUAGAGGGUUUAAUGUCUGUGUGGUCAGCGGGGUGUUGGUUUCUCAGACAGACGGUAGAGGGUUUAAUGUCUGUGGUCAGCGGGGUGUUGGUUUCUCAGACAGACGGUAGAGGGUUUAAUGUCUGUGGUCAGCGGGGUGUUGGUUUCUCAGACAGAUGGUAGAGGGUUUAAUGUCUGUGUUCAGCGGGGUGUUGGUUUCUCAGACAGACGGUAGAGGGUUUAAUGUCUGUGGUCAGCGGGGUGUUGGUUUCUCAGACAGACGGUAGAGGGUUUAAUGUCUGUGUUCAGCGGGGUGUUGGUUUCUCAGACAGACGGUAGAGGGUUUAAUGUCUGUGGUCAGCGGGGUGUUGGUUUCUCAGACAGACGGUAGAGGGUUUAAUGUCUGUGUGGUCAGCAGGGUGUUGGUUUCUCAGACAGACGGUAGAGGGUUUAAUGUCUGUGGUCAGCGGGGUGUUGGUUUCUCAGACAGAUGGUAGAGGGUUUAAUGUCUGUGGUCAGCGGGGUGUUGGUUUCUCAGACAGACGGUAGAGGGUUUAAUGUCUGUGGUCAGCGGGGUGUUGGUUUCUCAGACAGACGGUAGAGGGUUUAAUGUCUGUGUGGUCAGCGGGGGUGUUGGUUUCUCAGACAGACGGUAGAGGGUUUAAUGUCUGUGGUCAGCAGGGUGUUGGUUUCUCAGACAGACGGUAGAGGGUUUAAUGUCUGUGGUCAGCGGGGUGUUGGUUUCUCAGACAGACGGUAGAGGGUUUAAUGUCUGUGUGGUCAGCGGGGUGUUGGUUUCUCAGACAGACGGUAGAGGGUUUAAUGUCUGUGGUCAGCGGGGUGUUGGUUUCUCAGACAGACGGUAGAGGGUUUAAUGUCUGUGUGGUCAGCAGGGUGUUGGUUUCUCAGACAGACGGUAGAGGGUUUAAUGUCUGUGGUCAGCAGGGUGUUGGUUUCUCAGACAGACGGUAGAGGGUUUAAUGUCUUUGGUCAGCGGGGUGUUGGUUUCUCAGACAGACGGUAGAGGGUUUAAUGUCUGUGGUCAGCGGCGUGUUGGUUUCUCAGACAGACGGUAGAGGGUUUAAUGUCUGUGUGGUCAGCGGGGUGUUGGUUCUCAGACAGACGGUAGAGGGUUUAAUGUCUGUGGUCAGCGGGGUGUUGGUUUCUCA